UAAUAUCGUUUGCGAUGAACCACUGUGU
rnacentral:sRNA from 1 species